UAAUGGAACAUCGAUAACGCUAUUUACGAAGAUCCUGGUAUUCCUACUGGUAGUAGGUAAUCGAAGUUUUACUAUUGACCAUGAAUUGAAUACGAAACCCAUGAAUCCCUCUGAAUUGAGAUGUGUUAAUUGUGGCAUCAAUGUAAAUCAAAGGAGUAGGCAUAGUAGCCUUGAAUUAAUAGAGAUUAUGUUAGUAAUAUAACACUGGAUUGCACCUCAAGUGGUGACUGAGACCACCAGUGUGCCUUUUUUGCUGGACUCCUAGUCACUCCAAUGGGACUAAUGAUGAUUAACCUACUAAUGAUGGUCACCGUUGUCGUCUUUGUAUUAGCUGUGGAUGCUCUUUGAUGAGAACAAGAUCUCACAGGCUACGUACUGACCUAAAACGGGAAAUAUGCAUAUAAAUCAUAAUAAUAGAGAUGAUUAUGCCAUAACAGCUGCAUGGAUCUGAUGAAAUCUGCCACCCCUGUUGACAAAGAAGUGAUCGAUUGAGAGCACAUGCUCUUGAAUCACUUCAACAGUUACUUACCAGUUAU